CCCUUAGAUGUCCUGGGCCGCACGCGCGUUACACUGAUGCAUUCAACGAGCUUAUAACCUUGGCCGAGAGGCCUGGGCAAUCUUGUGAAACUCCGUCGUGCUGGGGAUAGAGCAUUGUAAUUAUUGCUCUUCAACGAGGAAUUCCUAGUAAGCGCAAGUCAUCAGCUUGCGUUGAUUACGUCCCUGCCCUUUGUACACACCGCCCGUCGCUACUACCGAUUGAAUGGCUUAGUGAGGCUUCCGGAUUGGUUUAGAGAAGGGGGCAACUCCAUCUUGGAACCGAGAAGCUAGUCAAACUUGGUCAUUUAGAGGAAGUAAAAGUCGUAACA
rnacentral:rRNA from 1 species